UACGUAGGGUGCAAGCGUUGUCCGGAUUUAUUGGGCGUAAAGAGCGUGUAGGCGGCUUGGUAGGUCCGCUGUGAAAACUCGAGGCUCAACCUCGAGAUGUCGGCGGAAACCGCUUGGCUAGAGUCCGGAAGAGGAGAGUGGAAUUCCCGGUGUAGCGGUGAAAUACGCAGAUAUCGGGAAGAACACCUAUGGCGAAGGCAGCUCUCUGGGACGGUACUGACGCUGAGACGCGAAAGCGUGGGGAGCGAACAGG
rnacentral:rRNA from 1 species